rnacentral:lncRNA from 1 species
GACUCUCAGGAAUCAAAGGGAGGGACCUUAGAUGGAAUGCCCAACAAUAGAGAGAACAAACUUAUAGUGUCGCGCCCGCUCUCAACCAGCAAGAACGACACGACCACCAGUCCUUCUAACAGCAGUUUAUUCAGUCCUGAUUCUUCUUGUUUAUAUCUCCCCCGAACCCUGGGCCUCUCACUCCUUUUAUACUCUCAUCCACGCACAGCAGGCCACGCUGCCUCACCAGGCACGCAGCUUCAGCUAAUCAGGGCAGCAGGGGCAUAUCUCCAUCAAACUGGAUUCACCGGUAUCCUGGUGCACCUGUGCAGCUCUCAAGAUGUUUGUGGCUCAUAUGAGGAAGUCAGGUGCAAGUGAUACGACUUAGCUACAGUCCCUGGCGCCUUUGGGACUGCCGCCACACCCGCUCCUAACAUUAUAGAGCCCACCUCCAGCAGGGGAGAGGACAGGGCAUCAAGUGAAGGAUGGGGUUGCCAUCCCACAGUCACACCUCUAACCCAUAAUUGUUCCUGUCUGAAAGAAUUACAGGAGUGGAAAUGGAGAGGAGCCUGAAGAUAAAAGAUCCAGCAACAGGCCCAAAGUGGGAUCCAGUUCAAGGGGAGGUCCCGAGGCCUGACACUAUUAAUGAGGCUAUGGAACACUCACAAAAAGGGACCUAGCAUCACUGCUUUCCAGAAAACGCAACAAGCAGCUGGAAGAGUCAGAUGCAGCUGGGCAGUGGUGGCACAUGCCUUUAAUUCCAGCACUUGAGAGGCAGAGGCAGGUGGAUUUCUGAGUUCGAGGCCAGCCUGGUCUACAGAGUGAAUUCCAGGACAUCCAGGGCAAAACAGAGAAACCCUGACUUGUAAAAAAAAAAAAAAAAAAAAAAAAAGAAUCAGGAAAAAACCAAUACAAGGACAGAAACCAUGCCCUAGAAAAAGCAAGAAAGUAAUCCUUCAACAAACCAAAAGAAACAGCCACAAGAACAGAAUGCCAACUCUAAAAACAAAAAUAAUAGGAAGCAAAAAUUACUUUUCCUUAGCAUCUCUUAAUAUCAAUGGACUCAAUUCCCCAAUAAAAAGACAUAGACUAACAGACUGGCUAUACAAACAGGACCCAACAUUUUGCUCCUUACAGGAAACCCAUAUCAGGGAAAAAGACAGACACUACCACAGAGUGAAAGGCUGGAAAACUAUUUUCCAAGAAUAUGGUCUGAAGAAACAAGCUGGAGUAGCCAUUCUAAUAUAGAAUAAAAUCGACUUCCAACCCAAAGUUAUCAAAAAAGACAAGGAGGGACACUUCAUACUCAUCAAAGGUAA